CAUAGAAAAAAGAUUUGGUCUCAGAUUUUGGCAAAGUGAGAUUUGAUUCUCACAUUUUGACAAUUAAGCCAAAAUCUGACGAAAAUACCCCUAAUGACUUAAACCAAAUGACACAGUUGGUUUCGGUUUAGUUACUUUUUCUUUGUUUUACGGUUUGGUUUUGAAUUAAAAAAAAAAAAAAAUUCUUGCCCAGAAACCUAAAAGAAAACGAAGAAGAAGAACGAGAGAGAUCACAAAUCGUCAUCAACUUCAAAAACCCAUUUUCUGGGGUUUUGUUUCUUGUUGUCGGAUCUUCAGAUGCUGGAGAAAGGAAUGAUUUUGCCUCCGGUACCGAGCCAAUUGGUGCUUUUACGGCCAAACCCUUUGCUUCAAUGGCGGCUUGGUGCUCUUACAGCACUCGUCUUCUUCCUCAUGUUAGUCGUUUGGAGUAUUGACGGUUGUUCGAUUCAAAGCUUCGUUGAGCCAUGGAGAUUCAAUGCAUACUCUGUUCGAAUCAGUCCUUCUCCGUCGCCUUUAAUGUCACCGAAACCCAAACUUCAAAAACCCACCAAAUCGUCAUCGUUUUUUAGUCGCCGGCGUCGUCAUCGUCGAAGCUUCUUCUUUAGCCGGAGAAUCUCUCUGGCCAACUUUCGUCAUUAUCUCUUUCGCUGGCUUGAAUGGCAGUCCGGUACGGCUCCGGUGCGGCGACCCUAAUCACGGGGUCACCGGCGAAUGGUAGUCCGGUUUCAGUCACCACACAAUCACCUUCGUCGUCACCAUCAUCUUCUCCGUCGACGUCAUCUCUGUUGGCGUCUUCUCCUUUAUUGUUGUUGAUUUCAAAGGAAUUAUGCUAAAUUAUGUAGUUUCGGUUAGCAAUCAAUGUUUCGGUUAAUGUAGUAAUUGGAAUUCAGAAA